rnacentral:rRNA from 1 species
UACAGAGGGUGCAAGCGUUGUUCGGAAUUAUUGGGCGUAAAGGGUGCGUAGGCGGUUUGGUAAGUCUUAUGUGAAAUCUACAGGCUCAACUUGUAGUCUGCAUGAGAAACUGCCGGGCUUGAGUAUGGGAGAGGUGAGUGGAAUUCCUGGUGUAGCGGUGAAAUGCGUAGAUAUCAGGAGGAACACCUGUGGCGAAAGCGGCUCACUGGACCAUAACUGACGCUGAUGCAUGAAAGCUAGGGGAGCAAACAGG